AGCGUUUGACAUCCCGCGCUAUCCUGAGAGAUCAGGGGUUCCCUUCGGGGACGCGGUGACAGGUGCUGCAUGGCUGUCGUCAGCUCGUGUCGUGAGAUGUUGGGUUAAGUCCCGCAACGAGCGCAACCCUCGUCUUUAGUUGCCAUCAUUAAGUUGGGCACUCUAAAGAAACCGCCGGUGAUAAGCCGGAGGAAGGUGGGGAUGACGUCAAGUCCUCAUGGCCCUUACACGCUGGGCUACACACGUGCUACAAUGGCGGUGACAGUGAGCAGCUAGAUCGCGAGAUCAUGCUAAUCUCCAAAAGCCGUCUCAGUUCGGAUUGCACUCUGCAACUCGAGUGCAUGAAGGCGGAAUCGCUAGUAAUCGCGGAUCAGCAUGCCGCGGUGAAUACGUUCCCAGGCC
rnacentral:rRNA from 1 species